UACGGGGGGAGCAAGCGUUGUUCGGAUUUACUGGGCGUAAAGGGUGCGUAGGCGGUCUUUUAAGUCAGUGCUGAAAUACUCCAGCUUAACUGGAGGGGUGGCAUUGAUACUGGAAGACUUGAGUAUAGUUGAGGUAGGCGGAAUUGACGGUGUAGCGGUGAAAUGCUUAGAUAUCGUCAAGAACACCGAUAGUGAAGACAGCUUACUAAACUAUAACUGACGCUGAGGCACGAAAGUGUGGGGAUCAAACAGG
rnacentral:rRNA from 1 species